GAUCAUGGCUCAGAUUGAACGCUGGCGGAACGCUUUACACAUGCAAGUCGAACGGUAACGUGGGGAGGAGCUUGCUCCGCCCCGACGACGAGUGGCGAACGGGUGAGUAAUACAUCGGAACGUGUCCGCUCGUGGGGGACAACCAGCCGAAAAGGUUGGCUAAUACCGCAUGAGUUCUACGGAAGAAAGGGGGGGACCCGCAAGGGCCUCUCGCGAGCGGAGCGGCCGAUGACUGAUUAGCCUGUUGGUGAGGUAACGG
rnacentral:rRNA from 1 species